GAACCAUCACAUUCUCGUCAUACAAGGCACGUGGUUUUAUUGUUAGGCCAAACCACAGUGAAAAUUAAAGAGGGCUUCUUUUAGAAUCUAGACUGCUCAGGACUAUUCAUGAUCUGUUCAGACCAUGUAGGGGCCGUGGCAGAUUCUGCUGUAUCACACCAGAGCAUCCCUGUCCCAGGAUGCAAAGAUGCACUGCUGAAGCUGGGGACCCGGGUGUAAACUCAAGGCCUCGGACAGAGUCAAGGGCAGCUAUAACAGCAGCAAAAGGUUUUCAGAAGAUGUUUCCAUUCCAAGCAGAUCAACCUUUCUGUUGUCAUAGAGACAAAGAUCUUUAUAUAACUACAUGCAAGUGAACUUCAGACAAAGGUCUUAGAAGGCACAAUUUUCAGCAUCUGAAAUGUUUGAAGCUCAAUUGUAUCUACUGAAGGAUGCUGAUGAAUGCUCAGGCACUCAGAGUUCUAGAUGCCCCAGGAAAAUCAGACUUGCUUCAAGAAAAAUGAGAGCUGUACCACUUUAAAAGAGUAACUUGAAGGUUUGACUAAGCUUAAGGCUUUGCUGGAAUGAAACCCUGAUUUUUCCUAAGAGCACACAGCUUCACAUUUAAACACAGGAAAGAGGAAUUGCUGUCCAGCUGCAGUUUCUCAUUUGGCAGGCAACCAGCCAUUUUCUCAGGAUUUGACAGAAUAUGAUUUCUCAUUUAACUGGCUUUCUAACACCGCCCCCGAGCCAGGCUGAAUUGAAUCAGAACCCUGUGCAAUCAUUGUCUUGGCUGAAGAUUCACACCUACAGUUCUUCCCCCAGAUUGUUUAAUGUGGUCACAGUGGAUGCUGAGAAAAAGAAGCAGGAAACAAUAUACUUGCCAAGUUUUCCUUAGGCAUACAUGUGAGAGAUCUCCUGGAGGUCUUUUAAGAAUUGCAGUUUUCUGGAACUCAUCACUACUGAUUCUCAGGCAGUGAGUCAAGGUUGAAAUUUCAACAGCAGCACACCGAUUCUCAAGCAGGAGACUGGAGAUAUCAUUCAACGAUGGCCACUUUAGAAGACUGUACAAAAUCUACAGUAGGAUUUUUUUUGCCUUUAUCUACAUGGGCACAAAUAAUCCCUUCUAAAGACUGUCUGCAUUGCCAUUGAUAACAGUUGGCUAAAUAUGAAUUGGCUGCUGAUUUUCUAACCACAUCAGGAGUGUGAGAGGAGCUAAAGCAGAUGUGAAAAAAAGUGAUAAUUUGAAUUAACCAGUGCAUGCUUGUAGACACACACACACACACACACACACACACACCUCACAUUAUAAUGCUUGUCUAUGGGUGCAUAGUUCAUUACUCUUGACUCUAAGUAGCAGAAGUGUCAUUCUGGAACUAAAGCUUAUCUCUGUAAGCUUAUAAUAGCAGCUGCUGCUCCUUAGCAUGGAUUGAAAUGAGCAACGAGAAGAGUUAAUGGUUUUCUGUGUUUGUCUUUAUUGAUGCAAUAUUAUGUUUUCUUUCCAACAAACUCCUAUGCAAUAAGGGUACGGGUAAUAAAUGCUUUCAGGGUUAAUGUCUCCACA